rnacentral:rRNA from 1 species
CCUACGUGUGGCAGCAGUGAGGAAUAUUGGUCAAUGGGCGUAAGCCUGAACCAGCCAAGUCGCGUGAGGGAUGAAGGUUCUAUGGAUCGUAAACUUCUUUUAUAAGGGAAUAAAGUUAUCCACGUGUGCCGUUUUGCAUGUACCUUAUGAAUAAGCAUCGGCUAACUCCGUGCCAGCAGCCGCGGUAAUACCGAGGAUUCGAGCGUUAUCCGGAUUUAUUGGGUUUAAAGGGUGCGUAGGUGGCGUUUUAAGUCAGCGGUGAAAGUCUGUGGCUCAACCAGAGAAUUGCCGUUGAAACUGGGAGGCUUGAGUAUGUUAGAGGCAGGCGGAAUGCGUGGUGUAGCGGUGAAAUGCAUAGAUAUAACGCAGAACCCCGAUUGCGAAGGCAGCCUGCCAAGCCAUAACUGACGCUGAUGCACGAAAGCGUGGGGAUCAAACAGGAUUAGAUACCCUUGUAGUC